AUGAGAUACAGUGUUACUCUGCAGAAAAAUUUCAAAGUACAACUCCAAGUUUUCCAGUAUAUUUUUGCAUUCUUUGCCCCAGUAUAUCCAAUUAUUCCCACAGCGUUUCUUCUUUACAAAGAAUCAACACUGUUUGCUCUCAUCUUGAUAACAGAUCCAAAAGAAAAUGCCCCCUCUUGGGCUGGAGGUCUACAUGACUGCUCUCAAUUCUGGUUGUUCGAAAUCGUCCAGUGUUGCUGUUUGUGUUCAAUGCUGAAGACCUGGUGUCCAUGCCUGAUAAAACCUGAAGCCAAAGAGGAAAAAGCCAGCAAAUGA
rnacentral:lncRNA from 13 species